UACACUCCUACGGGAGGCAGCAGUGGGGAAUAUUGGACAAUGGGCGCAAGCCUGAUCCAGCCAUGCCGCGUGAGUGAUGAAGGCCCUAGGGUUGUAAAGCUCUUUCACCGGUGAAGAUAAUGACGGUAACCGGAGAAGAAGCCCCGGCUAACUUCGUGCCAGCAGCCGCGGUAAUACGAAGGGGGCUAGCGUUGUUCGGAUUUACUGGGCGUAAAGCGCACGUAGGCGGACUAUUAAGUCAGGGGUGAAAUCCCGGGGCUCAACCCCGGAACUGCCUUUGAUACUGGUAGUCUUGAGUUCGAGAGAGGUGAGUGGAAUUCCGAGUGUAGAGGUGAAAUUCGUAGAUAUUCGGAGGAACACCAGUGGCGAAGGCGGCUCACUGGCUCGAUACUGACGCUAAGGUGCGAAAGCGUGGGGAGCAAACAGGAUUAGAAACCCGAGUAGUCCCAUGAU
rnacentral:rRNA from 1 species